GGGGACAGGGUGACAGGUGGUGCAUGGUUGUCGUCAGCUCGUGUCGUGAGAUGUUGGGUUAAGUCCCGCAACGAGCGCAACCCUCGCCCUUAGUUGCCAUCAUUCAGUUGGGCACUCUAGAGGGACUGCCGGUGUCAAACCGGAGGAAGGUGGGAUGACGUCAAGUCCUCAUGGCCUUUAUGCCCAGGGCUACACACGUGCUACAAUGGGCGGUACAAAGAGCAGCGAGCUCGCGAGAGUAAGCAAAUCUCAAAAAGCCGUCCUCAGUUCGGAUUGGAGUCUGCAACUCGACUCCAUGAAGUUGGAAUCGCUAGUAAUCGCGGAUCAGCAUGCCGCGGUGAAUACGUUCCCGGGCCUU
rnacentral:rRNA from 1 species